ensembl:lncRNA
AAGCUCCGCCCAUCGGCCAAGCCCCGGCCGCGUGCAGAACUCACUCCGGGGACUCACGGGUUGAAAAAGCAGAACCGGCCGGGGCCCUACCGGCCUCUGAAGUGGGUUGGGCCCAGGUCCCCCGCCCCUGCACUCCCGUCUCACCCCUCCCGGCUCCCCAAACCCCAGCCCCACCGUCACCGGCCUGGGUUCCUUCGCGGGUCUCUGCGUGGCUGACUCAGGUCAGGUGUGGAGCGCGUGACGGAGGCGGGCCAAUCAGGGCUGACUGUCCUUGAUUGGCUCGAAAGCGAGCAUGUGACUAAGCCUGGCCAAUCGGAGCGAGACGUGGGACUUUGGCGGGGCAUGCGGGGUGGGGCAGGGCGCCAAGGCAGCAACCUCCCUCCUUAAGGAGGCAGCCCCUGGAGCUGGAAGCCGCCACCUGGUCACUGUCUGCAAAGGGGAGCAACAGCCACGUGACGGAGCCGGAGCAGUGCCCGGCCACAUGCUUGGAUCGCUGGGUCCACGCCUGCCUGACGUGGAAUCUAGGACUACUCGGUUGCGUGGGAAAGUUUCCUUUUCUGGCGUUCUGCAGACAUUUCCUCCUGCAAGGCUGGGUCCUCAUGUUCUCCCACCAGAGUUUCUUGUCGUCUCGCAAAGAAUCGAGAAUUGCACACAGCACCAUUCCAUAAAGUAAAAGGAUGAAUCCAUUGACAGGCGUAAAUGCAAACCGAUUUCCAGCUCAAGGCAAGUCGCAACCCAUGAUGUUGCGGCAGGAAACCUCCAGGGAAGAAAGGAAGUUGGGUCGCAGGGCUGCCGCCUCCUCAACCCCACCAGGCGGACAAGACGGGAGUGGCAACUGAUUCAGGAUCCUUCCUGGCCUCGAGAGAAAUCCUAGAAUAGGAACUUGCACAGAUCGAGAGACCCAGAAUCUCAUGCCGCCAAAAGGAUUCUCAUCCCUAAACAUGUUCUCACCUCAGCCACAAGGUGACGGAGCCACGUGUAAGUAGAUCAAAGAUGUGCACGGGGCGUUAAACACGCACCAAGGGAAGAGCUAACUUGAACACAAGGUCAAGAUCAGCGACAAGUUCUACAACCCCCGACACAGGCUUGGAGGACAAAUUUCCUUUCAAAGGCUUACCCAGCCUCAGGAGGCUGGCUGAGGUGUGCAGUCUGCAAGGACAAGUUCAUGUUCUGGACUAGCUGGUGCAGCAGAUGCAGCCCAUCCUGGCUCCGUCCGUUUAGAAGCAUUUGCGGGGGCUGGUGCGUGGCCUGACAGGUCAGACUCCCGCCUGCCGAUCCGCAUCCGCGGAGGGUGGACAGCAAAGCCAGGACGCAGCCUGACCCCACCGAGUACCGAGUUCGAACUGGGGGGAUCGUGAUGGUCUCCCUGGGGGCCUCGGCCCUCGCUCCCCCUGCAUCCUGUUCCUGGCGCGCGGGUACGUGGUGGUCCCACCAGACAGCCCCGUGCAGGUGGGCAGGUCCCUCCAGAGGUGGACACUACCGAGCAGCAGACGGCCCGGUGGAUGCCACAGGGACCCGCUCCCGGUGGAUAGUGAGCGCCUGACCGUGCGGCAGCUCGUAGCUCUGCACAGGGAGCGGGAGGACACGGCGGUGGCCAUCUCCUACGCCAAGGCCAGGGCCACGGAGCAGCACUGCUCCUUGGUGUCAGGCAUGAUUCCUGCUCAGCCGCGGUG